GGCUGGCCUCAAACUCAGACAUCGACCUGCCUCUGCCUCUGCCUCCUGAGUGUUGGCAUUAAUGGCAUGCACCACCACCCAGAUAAACUCUUUAACUCUUGAUCUUGUUACAAAUGGCACUUUGCUGGAUGUCAGAAAUAGCCUAUUCGCGAUGGAUGCAGAAAGCUGUUCGUGAACGUGCUCAGAAGAGCACACCUCAUCAGACUCAAAGAACAAACCACCUCAACACAUCAAGAACACGGCAGGUAGCAGUGGCCCACGCCUCUAACCCAGCACGCGGGAGGCAGAGGCGGGCAGAUCUCUGAGCUUGAGGCCAGCCUGGUCUACAGAGAGAACUUCUGGACAGCCAGGGCUACACAGAGAAACCCUGUCUCAAAGAUGCCUCUCUCCAAAAAGGAAAAACAUGUUAACGAAGCAAUUAUUUUUAAAAAAUGAGAGCCAUGAAAUUACAUUGCCACAUGAAUUGUUAUGUUUAAGACCAAAGCACUCUUUUCUUCUGACGUGUGAUAUGUUUUGUUUUUUUUUUUUCUUUUUCUUUUUUUCGGAGCUGGGGACCAAACCCAGGGCCUUGCGCUUCCUAGGCAAGCGCUCUACCGCUGAGCUAAAUCCCCAACCCCAAAGCACUCUUUUCUUAUGAAUUAUUUGCCAGACUGAAUAAUCUGAGUCAAAAGAAAUAUAAACUGUUAUUAAAUAGCUUCCAAAAUACACUACAUUCAUAGGCUGCUUCUCCAAAGUUUUCUUCAGAUGAACAAGCUACAGUCAACAAGUAAACUGUCUCUACAUUCUUCGGUCUAGAGGUCUACAGAUUCUUGGAUAGCCUUCCGUACAUUGUAUAUGUUUUGGUUUAUCACCAAUACAAGUUCUGGUGCUGAACAGGCUGUGAGUCGUACUUAAAGCUCUUCCCACAGUCCUCAUCCUCGUAGGCUUUCUUACCAGCGUGAAUUCUGUGAUGACUGAUGAGCUGUGAGCUCUGAGAAUAGGCUUUCCCACAAAUCUUACACUCAUACGGUUUCUCUCCAGUA
rnacentral:lncRNA from 1 species